CUCAUCUAAUGAUUUUCUCUCUUCACAUUUGGUCUCUCGAUCGAGACCCUUCACAAAACAGAACCACCAGGCACCGCUGUAAAUCCCAAUCGCUAGCUUUCUUUGAUCAUUGGACUCCGGUGACCGGGUUUCUUCCUAUCAUUUCUUACAACCCAAGCAAGUUCCAGAACCACAACUCUCAUCUAAACCUCCUCUCCUUCUACCAUCCCAAAUCCAACCGGGAUUAAACCUUACCUAAAAUUAACAUAAAACCCCAAUGUCCGACCAAAACCGACCCCUCGCUCACAACUCCGAUGAAAGUAACCUUAUGAAGAACGAAAACGACGCCUAAGUUGAGAUGGUUUUGUCAAACUCAAAUGGAGAUUAUGAGAUUUGCUUUGUUAGCUGUCGGAAUUCUUGUGCCCUCACUUCGAUUUUCAGCUUCAAAUGAUACCACAAACUCAUCAUCAACCGACUCGCAGUCGACACAAGAUUUGGAUUGAAAUUCUAGCAAAAAGUUAUUCCACAAGUCAUAUUAUUUUUAU